rnacentral:rRNA from 1 species
AUUGAACGCCGGCGGCAGGCUUAACACAUGCAAGUCGAGCGGGGUGAUGGUGCUUGCACUAUCACUUAGCGGCGGACGGGUGAGUAAUGCUUAGGAAUCUGCCUAUUAGUGGGGGACAACAUCUCGAAAGGGAUGCUAAUACCGCAUACGUCCUACGGGAGAAAGCAGGGGAUCACUCGUGACCUUGCGCUAAUAGAUGAGCCUAAGUCGGAUUAGCUAGUUGGUGGGGUAAAGGCCUACCAAGGCGACGAUCUGUGGCGGGUCUGAGAGGAUGAUCCGCCACACUGGGACUGAGACACGGCCCAGACUCCUACGGGAGGCAGCAGUGGGGAAUAUUGGACAAUGGGGGGAACCCUGAUCCAGCCAUGCCGCGUGUGUGAAGAAGGCCUUAUGGUUGUAAAGCACUUUAAGCGAGGAGGAGGCUCUUUUGGUUAAUACCCAAGAUGAGUGGACGUUACUCGCAGAAUAAGCACCGGCUAACUCUGUGCCAGCCGCCGCGGUAAAAC